rnacentral:lncRNA from 1 species
UUUGAGUGUUUACUUUACAACAACAUUGUCUGUUUAAUGGGGGGGGGGGGGAAGUCAGGCAACUUAAGUAAGAUCGAUCAUCCCCAGGGAAAGUGAAUAUCUUCUUGCAAUCGUCAUUAAUUUUACAAGGACUUCUGUACACACAUCUGUUUGCUGGAAAAUUGAUUGGAAACAGUAUAAGUAAAUAUGAAAUAACGUUUUAUGUAGCAUUCUCUGCUCUAUAUAUAUGAAUAAUAUAGGAAGAAAAUAUUACCAGUAGACUGAGAAAAAAGGAGAAAAAUAAUUAACCAACUUAGAAACUUUUGUGCUGACAUUACUAUUGUCUUCGUAGCUCUAUUUAUUGGUGAAGAUAACUGAAGCAGCCAAGAACAAGCUUGCAAAUUUUGUAGCUCUAUUGUCUUUGUAGCUCUA